AGAAAGAGAACGAUUGAGCGCGUGUGAGCUGGCUGGCCCUGAGCCAAAUCAGUCGCGAUGGAGUUCCCAUUUACACGCAUUAUUUGUCUGACAGACCGCGACGGUUGGAGUUCAAAUUUGUGUUCUACUGAAGAAACAAAGUCACCUAUAUCUUGGAUGCCCUGGGGAUCUGCAAUGCUCUCGGCCUGUCGACCAGGAGGAUGUUUUUUCUGACAGGCCCUAUUUCGUUGUCCCCAUCCCACUCUGGACGCGUCACUGACAGGCUGCAGGAAAUCUGGAUCCCUCACGACAGUGCUGCUAAAUUCUGUUGAUGGGGCGGCCAGGGGUUUUGCCGAAAGCGUUUUUUUGUGCAGAAGUUUGCUUCAAAAGCACAAUGAGUCGCCGCUGCAACUUCCAGGACUGGUGUUUUUCCCGGUAGUGUACACAUACAUGCUUUUGGACGUGGGCUUCUGUCAUUUUUGCCAAAAGACCUUUACUGCUCAGCCCUACGAUACCUUCCCCCUGGUAGGGGUGAUCAAAUUUUGAGGAGGUGCAUGCAUACAUUUGAAUGUCAAUUAGACUCCGCUGACAGGUUUGGCGACGUGUGCAGACAGUCAAGUGUUUGGUUGUUGAAGCAAACGCAGUCACGUGUGACAAACUGGGCCACCUACUGUCAUCCCUUCCACCAUAACGUGGGUAUUAGGUAAAUGUUCAACAUAAGGUUUAAUGUCUGUCUACUACUACAGGGAAAAAAAUCUCAUGCUUUUCUGCCUUAAAGGUGCCAUAUUCUACACUUUUGUAGCAUUUAGUGCAUUUGUCAAUGGUGUUGUUUUAAAAUAUGGUGCUAAACAACUUAGCCACUUAAAUAAUACAAUUUAAAUAGCUAAAAAAUAUACACUACACUACAUAGAGUAGAUACACUGAAGUGCCCAACUGUACUUGCACUCACCCUAUAUUUUUCUUUGAAUUGAAUUUCUAAUGUUAGUCAAUGUUUCUCAGGUUUACAUGACCAAUUUCAACACUCACUGACCUUUAGAAUUAAUCUUAAAAUUUCUGUUUUUAAAGGCUACUGUACCUUUAAGACAUCUUUAUUUUAAAUGAGCUCUGUUAUGAUUGGCUCAGCAAACCAGCAUAGAAAAUAAGCAUUGAUUUAACAUUGAAAAAUGACAUUUAAAUUAAAGACUGUUUUUAAAGGAUAAUGUACAUUUAAGACUUCUUUAUGUAAAUGAGCUCUGCUAUGAUUUGCUAACCUCAGCAAACCUGCAUAGAAAAUAAGCAUUGAUUUAACAUUGAAAAAUGACAUUUCAAUUAAAGACUGUUUUUAAAGGA